rnacentral:rRNA from 1 species
ACUGAGGGUGCGAGCGUUAAUCGGAAUUACUGGGCGUAAAGAGUACGUAGGCGGUUUGACCAGUCAGAUGUGAAAGCCCCGGGCUUAACCUGGGAAUUGCACCUGAUACUGUCAGACUAGAAUUUAGUAGAGGGUAGUGGAAUUCCGGGUGUAGCGGUGAAAUGCGUAGAGAUCCGGAGGAACAUCAGUGGCGAAGGCGGCUACCUGGACUAAAAUUGACGCUGAGGUACGAAAGCGUGGGGAGCAAACAGG